rnacentral:rRNA from 1 species
UGGGGAAUAUUGCACAAUGGGCGCAAGCCUGAUGCAGCCAUGCCGCGUGUAUGAAGAAGGCCUUCGGGUUGUAAAGUACUUUCAGCGGGGAGGAAGGCGAUAAGGUUAAUAACCUUGUCGAUUGACGUUACCCGCAGAAGAAGCACCGGCUAACUCCGUGCCAGCAGCCGCGGUAAUACGGAGGGUGCAAGCGUUAAUCGGAAUUACUGGGCGUAAAGCGCACGCAGGCGGUCUGUCAAGUCGGAUGUGAAAUCCCCGGGCACAACCUGGGAACUGCAUUCGAAACUGGCAGGCUAGAGUCUUGUAGAGGGGGGUAGAAUUCCAGGUGUAGCGGUGAAAUGCGUAGAGAUCUGGAGGAAUACCGGUGGCGAAGGCGGCCCCCUGGACAAAGACUGACGCUCAGGUGCGAAAGCGUGGGGAGCAAACA